rnacentral:rRNA from 1 species
CCCUUAGAUGUUCUGGGCUGCACGCGCGCUACACUGACGCACGCAACAGGUGCCUGCUCCGAGAGGACUGGGUAAUCAUUUGAGUGUGCGUCGUGAUGGGGAUAGAAUAUUGUAAUUAUCACUCUUCAACGAGGAAUUCCUAGUAAGCGCCAGUCAGCAGCUUGCGCUGAUUACGUCCCUGCCCUUUGUACACACCGCCCGUCGCUCCUACCGAUGGGUGAUCCGGUGAAUGAUUCGGACUUCAGCGGCUCCCCUGGGGUGCGCCGGAGAAAGUUUUGUGAACCUUAUCACUUGGAGGAAGGAGAAGUCGUAACA